rnacentral:rRNA from 1 species
GUUGUGCCGUUGAAACUGAAGUUCUUGAGUGUAGAUGAGGUAGGCGGAAUGAGUAGUGUAGCGGUGAAAUGCAUAGAUAUUACUCAGAACACCGAUUGCGAAGGCAGCUUACUAAACUACAACUGACGCUGAGGCACGAGAGCGUGGGUAUCAAACAGGAUUAGAUACCCUGGUAGUCCACGCAGUAAACGAUGAUUACUGGUUGUUUGGUCGAUAGAGAUCAAGCGACUGCGCGAAAGCAUUAAGUAAUCCACCUGGGGAGUACGUCGGCAACGAUGAAACUCAAAGGAAUUGACGGGGGCCCGCACAAGCGGUGGAACAUGUGGUUUAAUUCGAUGAUACGCGAGGAACCUUACCUGGGCUUAAAUGGGAAGUGACGUAGGUGGAAACAC